GAUAAACGCUAGCGGCAGGCUUAAUACAUGCAAGUCGAGGGACAGCACAGGUAGCAAUACUGGGUGGUAACCGGCAAACGGGUGCGGAACACGUACACAACCUUCCUUUAAGUGGGGGAUAGCCCAGAGAAACUUGGAUUAAUACCCCGUAAUAUAGUUGAAUGGCAUCAUUUGAUUAUUAUAGCUACGGCGCUUAAUGAUGGGUGUGCGGCUGAUGAGAUAGUUGGCGGGGUAACGGCCCACCAAGUCUACGAUCAGUAGCUGAUGUGAGAGCAUGAUCAGCCACACGGGCACUGAGACCCGGGCCCGCCUCCUACGGGAGGCAGCAGUAAGGAAUAUUGGUCAAUGGACGCAAGUCUGAACCAGCCAUGCCGCGUGAAGGAUUAAGGUCCUCUGGAUUGUAAACUUCUUUUAUUUGGGACGAAAAAGGGCCUUUCUAGGUCAACUGACGGUACCAGAUGAAUAAGCACCGGCUAACCCCGUGCCAGCAGCCGCCGUAA
rnacentral:rRNA from 1 species